AUAGCGUAUAUUAAAGUUGUUGAGGUUAAAAAGCUCGUAGUUGAACCUUGGGCCUAGCCGGCCGGUCCGCCUCACCGCGUGCACUGGCUCGGCUGGGCCUUUCCUUCUGGAGAACCGCAUGCCCUUCAGUGGGUGUGCCGGGGAACCAGGACUUUUACCGUGAAAAAAUUAGAUCGCUUAAAGAAGGCCUAUGCUCGAAUACAUUAGCAUGGAAUAAUAGAAUAGGACGUGUGGUUCUAUUUUGUUGGUUUCUAGGACCGCCGUAAUGAUUAAUAGGGACAGUCGGGGGCAUCAGUAUUCAAUUGUCAGAGGUGAAAUUCUUGGAUUUAUUGAAGACUAACUACUGCGAAAGCAUUUGCCAAGGAUGUUUUCAUUAAUCAGGAACGAAAGUUAGGGGAUCGAAGACGAUCAGAUACC
rnacentral:rRNA from 1 species